GAAAGAAGAAGAGCAUGGAGGCAUGGACUCCACGUGGCCCAUAAUUCCUCCCCUCAUCUUCCACCGCCUUAUCAUUCAUUUCAUUUUUUUUUCUUUUCUUCUUUGCUCGGUUGACGGAGGGAACCAAGGGAACAGAGCAAGAAAGAAAACAGAGAGAGAGAGAGAGAGAGAGAGAGAGAGAGAGAGAGAGAGAGAGGGUAAGCGGCUAAGCUCGAGGUUAAGCUCAAGGAUGAGGGAGCGAGCGAGCGAGUGGCAGGGAGCUCGGGAUUGAGCUCAAUGGAGGGGGUUCAGAAAAAGGGAGAGGGGAGAGGAAAUGGGAGGAAGGAGCAAACACGGAGAGUGAGCGUCGGGCUAUAGGAGUUGACGAAACCGAAAGCAAGCACCCAAAGGGCUCGAUUCGUUAUUAUUUUGGGAAUUGUAUGUGAGUACUUCAUUUCAUUGUGAAAUGAUAUAUAUAUAUAUACACGUUAUGUGAAUACUCUAUUCCCUUAUAAAAUGAUGUAUUAUAGUUAUAUAAAUUAUUUAAGAAAAAUAUUGUGAUAGUUAGAGAUUAAGAAAUCGAUCUUGCUAUGUUGUAUGAAUUGAUUUGAGAGAUAUUGUUCUUUUAUGUUUCAUUUUGAUUUGAGAUAUGCAGUAUGAUUGUGUAUGCUAAUUGUGUAUGAGAUAUGUUAUAAUAACAUGCUGCCAUUGUAAUGUGAUUGAGGUUAUGGUUGUGUAUAAUGAUAUAUGAGGUAAGA